rnacentral:rRNA from 1 species
CCCUACGGGGCGCAGCAGGCGCGAAAACUUUACAAUGCGGGAAACCGUGAUAAGGGAACUCCGAGUGCCCGUAAAAUCGGGCUGUCCAUCUGUGUAAAUAACAGGUGAAGAAAGGGCCGGGCAAGACCGGUGCUAGCCGCCGCGGUAAUACCGGCGGCUCGAGUGGUGGCCACUAUUACUGGGCUUAAAGCGUUCGUAGCUGGUCUGUUAAGUCUCUGGGGAAAUCUACUGGCUUAACCAAUAGGCGUCUCAGGGAUACUGGCAGACUAGGGACCGGGAGAGGUGAGAGGUACUCCAGGGGUAGGAGUGAAAUCCUGUAAUCC